rnacentral:rRNA from 1 species
UUCCAGCUCCAAUAGCGUAUAUUUAAGUUGUUGCAGUUAAAAAGCUCGUAGUUGGAUUUCGGAUGUGUUGACGCGGUCUGCCUCUGGUAUGUACUGCGUUCGAUGCAUCUUUCUGCUGGGGACGAGCUCCUGGGCUUAAUUGUCUGGGACUCGGAAUCAGCGAAGUGACCUUGAGCAAACAAGAGUGUUCAAAGCAAGCCUACGCUCUGAAUUUUUUAGCAUGGAAUCACACGAUAGGACUCUGGCCUAUCUUGUUGGUCUGUAGGACCGGAGUAAUGAUUAAGAGGGACAGUCGGGGGCAUUCGUAUUUCAUUGUCAGAGGUGAAAUUCUUGGAUUUAUGAAAGACGAACUUCUGCGAAAGCAUUUGCCAAGGAUGUUUUCAUUGAUCAAGAACGAAAGUUGGGGGCUCGAAGACGAUUAGAUACCGUCGUAGUCUCAACCAUAAACGAUGCCGACUAGGGAUUGGCAGGUGUUCCAUUGAUGACCCUGCCAGCACCUUAUGAGAAAUCAAAGUUUUUGGGUUCCGGGGGGAGUAUGGUCGCAAGGCUGAAACUUAAAGGAAUUGACGGAAGGGCACCACCAGGCGUGGAGCCUGCGGCUUAAUUUGACUCAACACGGGGAAACUUACCAGGUCCAGACACGGGGAGGAUUGACAGAUUGAGAGCUCUUUCUUGAUUCUGUGGGUGGUGGUGCAUGGCCGUUCUUAGUUGGUGGGUUGCCUUGUCAGGUUGAUUCCGGUAACGAACGAGACCUCAGCCUGCUAAAUAGUAACACAUACCUUGGUAUGUGCUUUACUUCUUAGAGGGACUAUUGGCGUUUAGUCAAGGAAGUGUGA